UUCUGUGGGAAACCUCNAGAUCUUGCAAGCUAAGCUUGCUUGGGCCAGGUUAGUACUUCUGUGGGAAACCUCCAAAGAACAUCCAAGUGCUGCAGAAA
rnacentral:rRNA from 1 species